rnacentral:lncRNA from 1 species
AAGAACCGCCAAUAACCACCAAGAACCACCAAGAACCGCCAAGAACCGCCAAGACCGCCAAGAACCAGCAAGAAACCACCAACAACCACCAAUAACCGCCAAUAACCACCAAUAACCACCAAUAACCACCAAUAACCACCAAUAACCACCAAUAACCACCAAUAACCACCAAUAACCACCAAUAACCACCAAUAACCACCAAUAACCAUCAAUAACCAUCAAUAACCACCAAUAACCACCAAUAACCACCAAUAACAUCAAUAACCAAACACCAAUAAUUACCAAUAACCAUCAAUAACCACCAAUAACCAUCAAUAUCCACCAAUAACCUCCAAUAACCACCAAUAACCAUCAAUAACCAUCAAUAUCCACCAAUAACCACCAAUAACCUCCAAUAACCACCAAUAACCAUCAAUAACCUCCAAUAACCAUCAAUAACCUCCAAUAACCUCCAAUAACCAUCAAUAACCAUCAAUAUCCACCAAUAACAACCAAUAAAGAUCAAUAACCACCAAUAACCACAGAUAUUACUUCUUCUUCUGCAGUGGUCUCAGGAUGGUGGUGUCACUCCUAACUCGUCUCCCAGGCGGAGGUCCAGACCGUCUGUAGCUGUGACGCCGCUCAAACGCAAAGGUACGCACACCUUCUCUAAAGCAGGAAGUGACAUCAUUCACACAACCUAUUAUAUUCUUUUUAUAUAUAGUGCACACGCACACAUAUACUGUAUUUAUUUAUUUACACACAUACACACCAUGACAUGGCCCCGCCUCUUAAAGGGGCCUCGUACUGAAAAAAACAGACUGAGUUGAACAAAGAGAGCUGACCUGAGUUUACUCACACGUGCUGUCCCAACUGAGAGUUGUUGAUGUAGUGGGCCUGUACUACAAAGCUAGAUUUCCUCUUAUCGCGCUAACUUCCAGGAUUUAAUCAGUGUGUGCUAGACUAUGAAGCUGGCUAACGUCUUACGGAGCUAAAUCACCAUGGUAACUAAGGUUAAAUCACCAUGGUAACUUGGGUUAAAUCACCAUGGUAACUUGGGUUAAAUCACCAUGGUAACUUGGGUUAAAUCACCAUGGUAACUUGGGUUAAAUCACCAUGGUAACUUGGGUUAAAUCACCAUGGUAACUUGGGUUAAAUCACCAUGGUAAUUUAGGCAAAGACAAGGCAAAUGUAUUUCUAUAGCACAUUUCAUACACAAUGCAACUCAAUGUGCUUUACAUGAUCAAAAACGUGCAACAGAAAACAGCUUAAAAUCAAUAAGAACGUUAAAGUCAGCAACAAAACAUUUUAAAUAAUCAACAAACACAUGACAUCAUCAACAUGACCAUAAAUCUCUAUCAAUCAUAGAAAAAAGUUCCUUUAACUUUGA